rnacentral:tRNA from 1 species
UGAAGUCCGCUGGCUGGGGCGUUUAGUUGUUAAUUAAAAUUUUACGGGAUCGAAGCCCGUCAGUCUG